AAUAUCCCUGCUUCGUGAGCGAAAACUGCCUUUGACUGUCUUUGCUGACAGCAGUGAUCAAAACAGUCUAUGAUAAAUCGAGGGUAGAAAACCAGCGGUGGGUAGUAAGGGGCCCUGCGAACUUGUACCAGUAAAGAUGCUAUAUCCAGAACUUCAACUGAAACUGGCGCUACUCCUGAAUAAAUGUGAAAUAAUCUACAUUCUCCAAGACGCUCUGGCUUUUGUCCUGUCUAAAUAGGGCUGCAAAAGCAAUAGCCUGCAGUUCAAAAGCACCUGCAGCCAGAAGAGUCAUUUGAUGCUCGGGGCUCUGAGAAGAGACCAGCUCAGUAGCCGCAUGUGGAUCCGACUUCACUGAGGCUGGAUACUCCUAGACUGAAAGUGUCUUCACAGAUCUGGCUUCUCCACUGGUUUCUAGGUUAAGAGAUUAUUUCUCAGAGCCCUUCGGCUGAAGAGUCAUUUCUGAGAUUGACCAGUGUCUGCUGUUGAAAGGAGCAACACACACAUGUCCCAGGCUGUGCUCUGUGAGCUUGCACUGGGCACAGGCCCUAAUCCAGAAUUGAGAAGGAAACAAGAACAACGGCAGGAGAUGCUCCCUUCCUCUGCUUGAAGUCUCGGCUUAACAUCGCUCUGUGAGAUUAUCAGUGGACCUGAAAAUGGGAAGAGUCCGUCCUUUGAUUUGCCAAAAGACUCAACGCAAACAGCUGGAACCAGAGCAGAAUUAAAAGCAGAGUUAAACUCAACACUCCUUGCUAAGGAAACCCGAUCAUGAUUCUCAGCCGAGGCCAUCUCCAGCAUCCUGUCUGGGACCGGGCAGAGGGUUAGCUGAGAGAUGCUGGGAAGUCUGCUUUGGCUGGUGGUUCCAACAACACUUCUAGUCCUGAGACAAAAACCAGGAGAGUACAGUUGUUCCUGAUUGGUGGUAAGAUAACACUCAAAUUGAAAACGAUGAUUCGUCAGCUUUAUGGAGAGAACACAGGCUCACACCUCCCAAUAUGUCUCAGUCUGCAAUUAAUUGUCAAUGUGCCAUUAGAAGCCAGCCUCACAGUUAUUAAACAAAGCAAAGAUGGUGAAAACAAAACAAGUUUAUGAUCUACAACAAAGAAAAAGAGCCAAUAGAAUCGGGGACAAUACUCCAUGUGAAAAAAUAUUGUCCAACUGGAAGAGAGGAAGCAACUGAUUAUUAUGCAAAAAAAAGAGGCAACUACAAAAAAGAAUGGGAGAGGAGGAAAAGGCACACGGAUUGAAACAAUCAUGAUCAGAAAGAGCAGGAGCUGAUGUCAUACUUGGCACUCGCUGAAGUAAUACUCAUUCCUCUGAGGGAUGGUUGAAUACGUUAAGGAAAAAUAAAAAAUAUACUAUUUGCAACCAUACCAGACUUGAUCAGGAAUGAACUCCAGAGACAUCUAUGCAUGUGGAAGGAGAUAGACACCAACGAGUUUGCGUCACAACCUGGCUGUCACGUCCCACUUACCGAAGAACUUACCACUGACGGUUUGAAACAAAAUGCAUAUUUGUUUUUAUCAAAUAAACUCAGGAAAAUAGUACUAAAAAAUCUAUGAGUUUCAAAAGAGGUUUGGCUAAGUGCUUACAACGUCCACUGCAGUGUUUGAAGCAGCUGCCCUCCUUAGCAAAGUUGCCUGGGAACUGACCAGCCCAAAGAAGGCCUGGACCACCGUAUUUCAGUCAAAGUGUUCAGGAGCAGAAGCAAGAGAUAGCCAAACUACGCACAUCUCCAGUCUAUAAAUGCGGACUGCUAUAAGUUGAAAUAUCCUAAAUCGUCUUUGCGAGUCUCCUUUUCUUAGCUGUUCAUAAUCGUGGAUUUCCACUCAUGCAUCUCACGUUAUCCCCUUGGAAGGAAUUCACUAAAAUGUUCAUGGUAUAUUCACUACACUUGGGUGCACACCAAGUCAACAUUCAUUAGAUGUUUCUGAAUAUGAUUAUUUCAAUAGAUAUUUUUGGCAUUGUUUUUUAAUUAAAGAAAUUGUUUUUGUAUCCUAUCCUAUUCUAACUGUCCCAGCUUGCCCCUCAAGGAGUGUAAUCUCUUCCUUCUUCAGGUCUUGAUGGCUUCUGUACCUCUCUUAGGAAAUACUCUAUUUUACCUUUA